rnacentral:rRNA from 1 species
CCUACGGGAGGCAGCAGUAAGGAAUAUUGGUCCAUGGGCGAGAGCCUGAACCAGCCACGUAGCGUGAAGGCUGACUGCCCUACGGGUUGUAAACUUCUUUUAUAAAGGAAUAAAGUGAGGCACGUGUGCCUUUUUGUCUGUCCUUUUUGGAUCAGGAUCUGCUAACUCCGUGCCAGCAGCCGACGUAAUACGGAGGAUCCGAGCUUUAUCCGGAUGUAUUGGGUUUACAGGGAGCGUGAAUGGGUUGGUAAGUCAGGUGUGAAAGUUUGCGGUUUAACCAUAAAAUUGCAAUUGAUACUGGAAGUCUGGAGUAUAGUUGAGGUAGGCGGAAUUCGUGGUGUAGCGGUGAAAUGCUUAGAGAUCACGAAGAACCCCGAUUGCGAAGGCAGCUUACUAAACUGUGACUGACAUUGAUGCUCGAAAGUGUGGGUAUCAAACAGGAUUAGAUACCCGAGUAGUC